GCAUAUCUGCUAUUUCAGUAUUUCAUAGACUUUCUUUUCGAAAGAUUUCCUGUUCCCUGGUUUGUCUUUAUAAAGAUCUGAGAAUUAGCACAACAGCUCAGAUUUUUGUACAGUUUAUAGCAUGGCCCGGCAGAAUUUUAUUGCACAGGCCAGUGAGGCCGCAGCGUUUAAACGCUACGAUGAUAUGGCAUUGGCGAUGAAGAACGUAACGGAGCUCGGUGAGGAGCUGAGUAACCAGGAAAGGUUUCUCCUGAGUGUUGCUUACAAGAUGGUAGUAAAUGAUCGAUUACCGUCGUGGAAAGUACUUUUAUCCAUUGAAAACCAAGUCCAAGGAGUUGCGCGGAAAUAUGAGAUGGCAAAGGAAUACCGCGAGCAGAAGCAGCAUGAAGUUGAGACGUCCUGCGUCGAGGUCCUGACUUUGCUGGACAAACACCUCAUCCCCAAGGCCUCCAAUCCCGAAAGCAAAGUUUUUUAUUUCGAUAUGAAAACUGAAUACUUUCAGCAUUUGUCUGAAGUAGCUCAAGUAGCAAGCGGCCAGUUUCGGCGCGCCAUGCUCAAUGCUACUCGCAGGUCCUUUGAAGAGGCGUUGAAUUUUGUUGCCAGUGCGUACGAUGCAACGAAUCCUAUCCGCUUGAAUCUGGCCUUGAAAUAAUCUGAGUUUUGUUAUUCGGUCGAUUUUAAGCAACUUGCGUAUACGAUUGUUGGAAAAACAUAUUUUGAAGCGGGUUUCCAUAAGGGUGGAAUUAGUGGCGCCUCACCACUGAUCCAGCGUGCACGCCAACUGAUGGACCUAUUCGAGCCUGAGCAGCCAUCGAAUAUCGCGGCAUUGCCCGAACAAGGCCUGGCGGAAUCGCCACCUGGCACGCCCGAAUCCGGAAAAACUCCUAGAUGGGGAAAUCUUACGUACCAUUUAGAUACGGUCCGGUUGGGUCCGGAUUAUUGCGGUCGCCUUCAGGCUGCGGCUCGAGAAGGAGAAGCUGUCAAGAUCUUGCUCUUGACUGGGUUGAGUGGCUCCGUCGGACCAGAGAUUGGACGGUCACAGAUCAUGAAUUAUCAGAAUGCUCCGGCAAGGGUGUCAGUGCAAGAAAUUUGCUUGCAUAUUUUUGCAGUUCCUGAUCCUGUUAAGGAGGCUUGCAAAGCGGACGAGCAUCCCCCGGGAUUAACUAUCAAACUAGAGUUUGAUCACAUCGUUCCCGUGGAUGUUCAGAUGACCGAAUGAGUGAUUUGUUAGGACUCAGUGGCGAACGAGUGGGGGAUGUGUGUAUUCGGUGUGACAGUGUGUACCAUGCGGUAUCUUGUACCAUGCGGUUUUUUUGUACGGAUGGAUGGAUUUUUCUGUGUUGUGUUAUGGUUUCGCCGAUUCAUUUGUUUAUUGCGCUGCGCCGGGAUCGCAGUCUAAUCAGCAGCAGCGGCGCUGUGAUUCCGGUGUGUGUUUUUCUCUUGUUGGGGCCAAAAACGUUACGUGACGCUGAUGUAUGGGAUGAUUCUGUACCGGUUGUCGCAACCGGUCCGGAAUGGCGCUGUUUUCUUUUUGUAUCUCCUUUUCGUGCACACCAAAGCACGCCUGGCCUCGGCGUUGGAAAGAGACUCAACGGGAUUAUUAUUUAAUUCAUUUAUUAUGUUUCUCCGCGUGGAGCGAGCGAAAUCCGUCCGUCUUUCUGAUUUGUUUGUUUUUUUGCUGUGUAAGCAAGAAAAUCUUGGGGAAUCCGCUGGUUUCGGAAAGAUAUCAAUGGAGCUCUUCUUGUGUUUCCGUGGUGGGCGGAUGGGGGGAGAGUUGCGUUUAUUAUCUUCCCGGAAUAAUUAUGAGGGACGCGUGGAUUGUGUUUUGUGUUGUGUUUCCUCCGCUCUUGUGUUUUUGUAUUGAGGAUUAAUCAUUUGCCUCCUCGUUUGAAAGUGGUCCGCGGAUUGUGUCUGAGGAAGUGCGGCGUUAAAGUGUUCCUUGUGUUGUAUUAAUCUGGGCGAUGAUUCCUGGAUUCGCGGGCGAUUUUUUUGCGGGGCGGAUUUAUUUGCGUAACGGUUUAUGGGAAUCGUGGCAGUGGUUUCCGUGAUAAUUGGGAAAUAUGUUGAUUAUUUUUUUCUUUCUUUAUUGAAUAGUAAUUAACUGGACAGUAUUGGAAUAAUAAUUAUUUAUGAUGAUUUCUCGGUUGGUUGUGUCGUUGCGGUGUGUUGUGGCGCGCGAUGAAGAUGCGAAAUUGCGGACACGAUGACGGGUUGAAUAAAGUGUGAG